UCAUAGCGACUAUCGUGGCAUAUCAAUAAGCGGAGGAAAAGAAACUAACAAGGAUUCCCUUAGUAACGGCGAGUGAAGCGGGAAGAGCCCAAAUCUGAAAUCUUCAAGGUUCUACCUUGACGAAUUGUAGUUUAAAGAAGUGUUUUCUGUUGGAGUUUUGGUAAAAGUUCUUUGGAAUAGGACAUCAUAGAGGGUGAGAAUCCCGUAUUUGACCAUUAUCUCCAACUUUGUGAUACACUUUCAAAGAGUCGGAUUGUUUGGGAAUGCAGUCCAAAAUGGGUGGUAAAUUUCAUCUAAAGCUAAAUAUUGGCGAGAGACCGAUAGCGAACAAGUACCGUGAGGGAAAGAUGAAAAGAACUUUGAAAAGAGAGUUAAACAGUACGUGAAAUUGUCUAAAGGGAAGCGUUUGACACCAGUGUUGUUUUCUCGAAAAUCAAUUAAAAAUGAUGGGCUUUAUGCUAGGUUGUUAUGACUUUAUCAGCUUACUGUCUACUUUUUCUUAUCUUUGUUAAUGCACUUUUCGUUUAACAAGUCAACAUCAAUUUCUUUUGUUGUAAAAGAGUCAUGAGGAAGGUGGCUUUCUUUCUCGGAGAAAGUGUUUAUAGCCUUGUGCUUCUGCAAUCGGAGAGAUUGAGGUCUGCAGCGUAGAUCCUUCGGGGUUAGAUACAUUUGUGCUAAGUUAUAGCCUUUCAUAGACAACUUGUUGACUAUGAUCAGUCAUGUAGCUUACUCGCUUAUGUCUAUUUUACCUACGCUUAGGAUGUUGAUAUGCAUGACUGAUAU
rnacentral:rRNA from 1 species